UACGUAGGGGGCAAGCGUUGUUCGGAAUUACUGGGCGUAAAGGGCGCGUAGGCGGCCUUCUAAGUCAGACGUGAAAUCCCCAGGCUUAACUUGGGAACUGCGUCUGAUACUGGGAGGCUUGAGUGCGGGAGAGGGAUGUGGAAUUCCAGGUGUAGCGGUGAAAUGCGUAGAUAUCUGGAGGAACACCGGUGGCGAAGGCGGCAUCCUGGACCGACACUGACGCUGAGGCGCGAAAGCUAGGGGAGCAAACGGG
rnacentral:rRNA from 1 species